CAUACCUAUUCGAAGGGAUAGGGUCGGUUUGGCCGGAUUUCACACAGGUGUUGCAUGGCUGUCGUCAGCUCGUGUCGUGAGAUGUUGGGUUAAGUCCCGCAACGAGCGCAACCCUCAUCCUUAGUUGCCAUCAGGUAAUGCUGAGUACUUUAAGGAAACUGCCAGUGAUAAGCUGGAGGAAGGUGGGGAUGAUGUCAAGUCAUCAUGGCCUUUAUGGAGUGGGCUACACACGUGCUACAAUGGUGUCUACAAUGGGUUGCAAGGUGCGCAAGCCUAAGCUAAUCCCUAAAAGACAUCUCAGUUCGGAUUGUACUCUGCAACUCGAGUACAUGAAGUUGGAAUCGCUAGUAAUCGUGGAUCAGCAUGCCACGGUGAAUACGUUCUCGGGUCUUGUACACACUGCCCGUCACGCCAUGGGAAUUGGUUUCACUCGAAGCU
rnacentral:rRNA from 3 species